rnacentral:rRNA from 1 species
UGAACGCUGGCGGCGUGCUUUACACAUGCAAGUCGUACGAGAAAUCUUUAGCUUGCUAAAGAGAGUAAAGUGGCGUACGGGUGAGUAACGCGUGGGUAAUCUACCUCUGAAUUGGGGAUAACAUUGCGAAAGCGAUGCUAAUACCGGAUAUUAUUCUGGGAGCUUCGGAUUUCAGAAUUAAAGGUGGCCUCUACAUGUAAGCUACUGUUUGGAGAUGAGCCCGCGUACCAUUAGCUUGUUGGUAGGGUAAUGGCCUACCAAGGCUACGAUGGUUAGCUGGUCUGAGAGGAUGAUCAGCCACACUGGAACUGACACACGGUCCAGACUCCUACGGGAGGCAGCAGUGAGGAAUUUUGCGCAAUGGGGGAAACCCUGACGCAGCAACGCCGCGUGAGUGAUGAAGGCUUUAGGGUCGUAAAGCUCUGUCAAGUGGGAAGAAACUGUUUGAUGCUAAUAUCAUCAUACACUGACGGUACCACUGAAGGAAGCACCGGCUAACUCC